rnacentral:rRNA from 1 species
UACGGGGGGGGCAAGCGUUGUUCGGAAUUACUGGGCGUAAAGGGCUGGUAGGCGGCCAACUAAGUCGGAUGUGAAAUCCCCAGGCUUAACCUGGGAACUGCAUCCGAUACUGGUCGGCUUGAAUCCGGGAGAGGGAUGCAGAAUUCCAGGUGUAGCGGUGAAAUGCGUAGAUAUCUGGAGGAAUACCGGUGGCAAGGCAGGCGAUCCUGGACCGGCAUUGACGCUGAACAGCGAAAGCUAGGGGAGCAAACGGG